ACUGAGCUUAACUAACCUUAAAUUUUCACAAAUUUUUCUCGGCAAACUGUGCAUGUUUUAUUUGUUUUUUUAAUGUGAAAAAUAUUUAAGAAUAUGUAGGAAAGUAAGAUACACAUAGGAAAACAAAUAUUGAUAGUAUCAAUGUAAUAAUAAUCGUAGAAUAAAUCAUUUUCCAGUGAAAGACUCACGACAAGUGCAUCCGCCAUGACACCUCAAAAUUCAAUUGAAAAUUAUUUAUUCUACGAUUAUUGCUAAUCAAUCUUAGUACUAUCAAUCUUUGUUUUCUUAUGCAUAUCUUACUUUUCUACAUAUUCUUAAAUAUUUUUCACAUGGAAAAAACGAAUAAAACAUGCAUAGUUUGCCGAGGAAAAUUUGAGAGAAUUUGAGGUUAGUAAAGUCCCGCCUUAAUUCAACGGGAACAAGAAUAAAAUUAAUCAACGCAGUUAUUGUUGUCAUUGUCAGUCGUGCAUGAACAAUUUUGUAAUCUAUAAAAAGUGAUUUUUUUGGUGAAUAAACAUUAAAUCAACAGUGUUUCUAAUGAUAAAAAAAAUAAAAUGUGCUACAGAUGACAAUGUAGCUCUUGCUAAACGAUUGGUCAUUGUUGUGAAGUGAUAAAGAAAUGACAGUAAAAAUAUUAUAAAAUGUGACGAUUGACAAGAAUGCUAAAAAAGACGCCGUGACUGUGGAAGAUCAGCGAAAGGACAGUCUAUAAAACCGUGACUGUAGUAAUAAAAGGAAUUUAUUAAUUUUUUUUAUCAUUCUGUUCGUAAGAACAAAAGUAUUCACCGUACAUUUUAUUUCUCUACAUACAUGAGAUAAUAUUUGUUAAAUAGUCUAUUACGUGUUUAAAGUUGACUACUGUGAGGUAAAUUUGAUUCAACUGCAGUAACCUUUUUUUUUUUUAUUUGAGACUACAUUUUACGCUUCUGUUUUUCUCACGUUAUUGAAGUAAAAGUUUAAAGUAAAGUCGACAUUACUUCUCAAUAAAAAAUAAUUGAAAAAAGGCUUUUACCUAAGUACUUGCUCCGGUGAAAUAGCACCAGCACUACCGCUGCUUGUAUGUGCUCGAUGUCUAUAAGGGGUUGUGUGGGACGAGUGAUGAUGAGGUGCACUCGGUGGCCUCUCUACAAUUGUAUAACUAGUUCCAGGGGGGCUGUAGUACCCUCGGUUCUGACCACUUUGAUGCCUGCUAUUUCCACCAAUGGGUUCCAAGUCUUCUGCUUCAUAACAACCUGCACUGCCACCACCUCCACUUCUCAAGAAGUUGUUGCUACUUCGUAGGAAGUGCGAAGAACUCCCGCCACCCCAUUGUAACUCCUGCAGCUCUGAACCGUAGUCCUCUGUGCUGCUUGCCAUCUUAUUCGUGGGUCAAACCUGAAAAUUAAGUAUCUUCUUGAUUUUUCAUUCAAAAUAUACUUGGUUACCAUUAUGAUACAAUGAUGGAGUAUAAAAGAAGAGUCACCUUUUUUCUGAUGAUAAAAGGUACAGGUUAUAAUGAGAAAUCUAUGUGGUGAGAUGACAACUCUUUCUUCAAUUUGAUUAUACAAAAAUGUGUAUGCAUGGAGUAGGAGAUCUCACUGGUUACUGUUUUUGAGGAUAGAUUAACAUGUAAAGAAUACUGAUAUCCAAGAAGAGUGAAAAAAAGUGGUAUUUUCUGGGAGUUUCACGAAAUACUAUACGGUGUUGAAGACCUUAUUCUUUUUUUCCCUAUCAAUCUAUAGGUGAUGGAAACUGACAAGCAGGAGGUCAAUGGAGACUUGCCGUGACGCCGAUAUGCCAAAUCUCAGAUCAUGAUCUUUACGAAGCUCGUACUGGUAAUUGGAUGACUUCCUGCUGUUUCCACCUACGUCCGUUGGUAAAUGGCAAUUGUAGAAUAUGUAACCUUGACAGUGAUAACAAUCUUUUGACUGAACAGCAAUAAUUGAGUAGGUGUUUCUUUCCCAUUCAACCCUUUCGCCAACAUAUGCGUAUUGUUGAUUUAUUGAUUAUUGGGACGAUAAAUUAUUUUAGGUAUUUGUCAAGUGCAAGUGAUGACCAAUUGAUACAAGCAAGCAUUGAAGAAAAGCUUAGACAUUUGCUACUGGGUCACAUUCCUUAAGUAGAGUGUUUAUAGUGUGGUCUGUCUUCGAGCACGAGUUCUCUCGUGGGAAUUAACCACGUGUUCUACCUCUUAAACUUAGCGACGUGAAAUCAAUGAUGUUUCAAAGUAUACAGGCUGAAAUAAAAGUUGAGGUUACUCAAUGAGAUCACGAAUGGAAAAAAUUGAUAAAAUAUUUCUUAGGUAUCGCGUGUAUUCGAGAAGGUUGUAACGUCCAAGCUGACUGCAGUAGCAAUAUUUCACGAACAUCCGGGUGCUUCCUCUGUCUCUCUUGUAUUUUAGCUUCUAGUUUGAGUGCACACGAUUAGUAAGCACCAGGUGCAUUGUAAAAUCUUCAUAUCCCAUGUAUGUUACGUUUUUCUCUAUAUUAUUACUUAUGCUUUUAGCAUCAACUUUUGGGGUUUUCAUACAAUGUUAUAUAAAUUAUAAUUCCAUUUUUGUUGCUCAUCAUUUACAGUCCAUUUUAAUUCUAAAAACAACCUAGACUCAUUUGAAUUUUAACUAUUGUAUUAUCAUGUGAAAAGAAAAAAUUUAUAAUCAAGUUCAAUCCUAUAUUAAAUACAAAAAAAGGUAGUUUGUUGAAAGGAUUGUUCAUGAAGAAUAAAUCAUUUAUAUCUUUAAUCGCUAUUUAAAUAUAAUAUAUGACUUAAUGUGGAAAAAAUAUCAAAGUGCUCCAUAUUAUUAGUUUAUUUUAUAUGUGAUAAAGUAUAAAUUCAUUACUGAUAAACUGUUAGAUAUUUGUGAUUAGUUUCCAUUAUCAUUGUUGUUAGUUUACUGUAUGUGACGAUCGAUAUAAUAAUAACAGCUCCUUGAUUGAGAGAAUUUCAUUUUGGUUGAGAUAUUUGAUAUAUAGUUUGUGCUUGUUUGUGGUUUAGAAUCGUCCUCUUCUAUUUUAAGGUCGCUAUUGAUUCCUACUCUAUGUUGAAUCGACAUAUAAUGCAGAAUCUCCGAGUCUUAUUAAUUCUUCAGAUCUUCGUAGCCUUUAGGGUUUUGAACAAUCAAUCUCCCUCUUUUUUCUCUCGUCAGAAUCUUGAUGAAAAAAAAUACAAUAGAAAAAUAAGGCAAAAAUGUUACGUAAAAUUUGAUGAGAGUAAAAUAACAAUAGUUUAAGAUUUAUUACUUUGACAAUCUCAUUAAUUUUCUGUCACAGAUUCGAUUGAAUGAAAAUAUUAGCUCGUUACUCUAUAAAUUGAAUAAAUGUCUCAAUCACAAGCAUGUGAAAGGCUUCAUUUGACGUCUAAUCUUUCUUAUUUAUUUGUUUUGUUCAUGAAAAGAUUGUUUCUAUUUUCGGUCUUUAGGAAAGAUAGAAGAAGUAAGAAAGGAAAAUUUUUUAAAAUUGUUAUGUCAUUUAAAAAUAAAUAAAAAUAGAAAAAAAAAAGUGUGAAUUAAAUUUUCUUUAAGUGGAUAUGGAUGUAAGAUGGAAUGAAAAAGCAAUCAGGGUCAUAUUUGAAAGAGACAGACAAGCCAAUUUCCUGUCACGUAUCAUUUCUAUCUCUUCGUGCGUACCACAAUCUACCAAUCUUUGACAUUAUGAUAAAUGUUUAGAACUAACUGUCUGAAAAUUUUGCGUGUUAAAUAUCAAAUUGUUUUUCUUUUUCACGUU
rnacentral:lncRNA from 1 species